rnacentral:rRNA from 1 species
GCGCACGGUGGAUGCCUUGGCACUAGGAGCCGAUGAAGGACGGGACUAACACCGAUAUGCUUUGGGGAGCUGUACGUAAGCUAUAAUCCAGAGAUUUCCGAAUGGGGGAACCCAGCAUCUUUAAUAGGAUGUUACGAUUGUGUGAAUACAUAGCACAUUCGAGGUAGACGCAGAGAACUGAAACAUCUAAGUACCUGCAGGAAGAGAAAGAAAAUUCGAUUCCCUGAGUAGCGGCGAGCGAAACGGGAAAAGCCCAAACCAACAAGCUUGCUUGUUGGGGUUGUAGGACUCCAAUAUGGUCGUUCUUUCAGAUAGUCGAAUGACUUGGAAAAGUCAGUCAAAGAGGGUAAAAACCCCGUAGACGAAAUGUGGAAGACACCUAGGAGGAUCCUGAGUACGGCGGAACACGAGAAAUUCCGUCGGAAUCCGGGAGGACCAUCUCCCAAGGCUAAAUACUCCCUAGUGACCGAUAGUGAACCAGUACCGUGAGGGAAAGGUGAAAAGCACCCCGGAAGGGGAGUGAAAUAGAACCUGAAACCGUGUGCCUACAACAAGUCAAAGCCCGUUAAUGGGUGAUGGCGUGCCUUUUGUAGAAUGAACCGGCGAGUUACGAUUGCAUGCGAGGUUAAGUUGAAGAGACGGAGCCGCAGCGAAAGCGAGUCUGAAUAGGGCGUUUGAGUAUGUAGUCGUAGACCCGAAACCAUGUGAUCUACCCAUGUCCAGGUUGAAGGUGCGGUAAAACGCACUGGAGGACCGAACCCACGUACGUUGAAAAGUGCGGGGAUGAGGUGUGGGUAGCGGAGAAAUUCCAAACGAACUUGGAGAUAGCUGGUUCUCUCCGAAAUAGCUUUAGGGCUAGCCUCGGAAUUGAGAAUGAUGGAGGUAGAGCACUGUUUGGACUAGGGGCCCAUCUCGGGUUACCGAAUUCAGAUAAACUCCGAAUGCCAUUCAUUCAUAUCCGGGAGUCAGACUGUGAGUGAUAAGAUCCAUAGUCGAAAGGGAAACAGCCCAGACCACCAGCUAAGGUCCCAAAAUAUAUGUUAAGUGGAAAAGGAUGUGGGGUUGCACAGACAACUAGGAUGUUGGCUUAGAAGCAGCCACCAUUUAAAGAGUGCGUAAUAGCUCACUAGUCGAGUGACCCUGCGCCGAAAAUGUACCGGGGCUAAACAUAUUACCGAAGCUGUGGAGUACACCUUUAGGUGUAUUGGUAGGAGAGCGUUCUAAGGGCGUCGAAGGCAGAUCGUGAGGACUGCUGGAGCGCUUAGAAGUGAGAAUGUCGGUAUGAGUAGCGAAAGACAGGUGAGAAUCCUGUCCACCGAAUGACUAAGGUUUCCUGGGGAAGGCUCGUCCGCCCAGGGUUAGUCGGGACCUAAGCCGAGGCCGAUAGGCGUAGGCGAUGGAUAACAGGUUGAUAUUCCUGUACCCGUUGUUUUUGUUUGAGCAAUGGAGGGACGCAGGAGGCUAAGGAAUGCAGACGAUCGGAAAUGUCUGUCCAAGCAGUAAGUCUGAAGAGGAGUCAAAUGCUUCUUUUCUUAAGGACAA